UACAGAGGUCUCAAGCGUUGUUCGGAUUCAUUGGGCGUAAAGGGUGCGUAGGCGGCGCGGUAAGUCGGGUGUGAAAUUUCGAGGCUUAACUUCGAAACUGCAUUCGAUACUGCCGUGCUUGAGGACUGGAGAGGAGACUGGAAUUUACGGUGUAGCGGUGAAAUGCGUAGAUAUCGUAAGGAAGACCAGUGGCGAAGGCGGGUCUCUGGACAGUUCCUGGCGCUGAGGCACGAAAGCUGGGGGGAGCAAACGGG
rnacentral:rRNA from 1 species